AAGAAAAGAAAAGAUCUGGAAUGAACUUUAAAUGUACUUGUUAAGUCUGCGUUCAUCGAUCGAAUUUGGCGAAGAUAAGGUUGAAAUAGUUCCAAGCAGAGUAGAAUUUGUUCAUCAAGAGAUACUGGAUCGCUGUUUAAAACUUAAAAAUCAAGAAAGUAACUCACAGCUUGAAGACUGGCAACUAUUCUGCCUAGUCCAAGUGAUCGUUAGUACAAUUCUCUAUGUAUGGAAAGAAAAACAAUCAAUAGUGAAAGGAUUUGAAAUAAUUCGGCAAAACUUCCUUAAAAAACCAUGAACAGUUAAUCGCUUAAUCCCAAAAGACAACAAAGUCCUCGAAUUCAAGUUUCAAAUUAUGCUUCGACUUGAAUUAUGUUGGGUUGUCCCUUCGCUGAUUGGAGAAGAAGAAGAAGUGCUGCAAGACACAGUUAGUUUGUUCCAAAUGCUGGCAAUCCAUUCUAAUCCUCAACUUAUAUCAAGUUUUUUCCAGGACGGUUUGGUAGUCAGCUUCGAAAACAUGUUACCCGAGUUUCUUGUUAACUUGGGAGAAGAAUUAAAUCAGCCUAUUCCGGCCAGCUUGAGUGAUAUUGUGCGAUCGAAAAAUUCAGCGCGAACUCCUAGUCCAACAAUAAGCUCCAGAACGUUGUCGGUUCAUUCCGUUUCUCGGAACGACACAUGGG